UCUUCCCUCUUUCUUCGUGCCUAAUUCAUGCAAGUCGAGCGAACGGACGAGAAGCUUGCUUCUCUGAUGUUAGCGGCGGACGGGUGAGUAACACGUGGAUAACCUACCUAUAAGACUGGGAUAACUUCGGGAAACCGUAGCUAAUACCGGAUAAUAUUUUGAACCGCAUGGUUCAAAAGUGAAAGACGGUCUUGCUGUCACUUAUAGAUGGAUCCGCGCUGCAUUAGCUAGUUGGUAAGGUAACGGCUUACCAAAGCAACGAUGCAUAGCCGACCUGAGAGGGUGAUCGGCCACACUGGAACUGAGACACGGUCCAGACUCCUACGGGAGGCAGCAGUAGGGAAUCUUCCGCAAUGGGCGAAAGCCUGACGGAGCAACGCCGCGUGAGUGAUGAAGGUCUUCGGAUCGUAAAACUCUGUUAUUAGGGAAGAACAUAUGUGUAAGUAACUGUGCACAUCUUGACGGUACCUAAUCAGAAAGCCACGGCUAACUACGUG
rnacentral:rRNA from 1 species